AGGGCUAUUAAAUCUUGUUGCACUUGAAUUUUGAAUGGAUCUUCUUGGUGGUUGAAUGUUCUUAUUCUAUCUUAUGAAAUUCUAUGCUUUAAAAUCCUUGUCUCUCGAAUGUUGAUCGACUUAAUUUCUUGAGGUAUGCUUGCUUAAAAUUGUUUUUGGAUGAGUUGAGAUGAGAAUUGAGUGGAGAUUUGGGAUUAAUCUUGAGUUAUAUGCUUGAGGACAAGCAUCAUCUUGGUGUGGG
rnacentral:lncRNA from 1 species